UCGUUGACGCUGAUCGUUAAACGUCGCCGUCCAUUCGCAGCGCAAGCGAGAAAUCGAAUAGAGUGUUUUUUUAAUUCGUAAAUUGUGUAUUGUUUUUAUUGUCUUUCAAUUUCAUUGUCCUAACUAUAAAUAUAUAUAAAACAAAAGUGCAACAGACAUAGAAGCGACAAAGUAAAUAAAUAUAUAAAUAAUAUCAAAAGAAACGCCACGUUUCGUGCUCCGCAAAUACGAGUACAUAUAAAUACAUACAUACAUACAUAGUAUUUACAUAUACAAAUAGCACACAACAUAUAAUUAGUUACUCUGAUAUUUCGACGCUACGCAUAGCAACAGUAGGAAAUACUUAAAUAAACUAAAUAAAUAUAUAUUUAUAUAUAUAUAUAUAUGCAACACUUUGAAAGAUCAUUGAGCACAAUAUCAAGAGAGUUGUAAGACCCAACAGCAAGAAGCUAAAUCAUCCAUUGCGGUUCCAAUGUAGCCCCUCAUGGUUAAUUAACACGAGCCCGUUGUGUGACUAUAUAACAGUUUCGUGUUAAAACAAAGUGUACUAAAAGUUGGCAGUUAUUAGCAAAAACACACAAUAAAUAAUUUCCAUCAAUCACGAUCCGUACAAAUUUCUGAUAAACAACAGCGCAGACUUUGCGUGAAUCACCAGCCGUACAAAUUUUCCGUACUUCAAAUGGGUUGACUUUGGACACAUAAGCUUCCUGGACCCGGGAAACAAAAGGGAUACACUUUGAACCUCUGUAAAUUCGAGCCACAGACAGAUUUAGCUGGAGCUGCCACUGGACACAGCGACGCGCGGGCAAAUAAACCGAAUCCAAACCAAGCACAAUAGCAACCACUUGCACCUCCAAAAGAUCUGAACAAAUUUCUGAUAGUCUUUUUUCAUUGAACACCAUUUGAUCCACUGCCCAAGAG